UUCAGGUCAAACUGUCCUGUUCGAUACAUACAAAUCCAAAUAGAACCCGGACAUUUCUUACAAAUAUAGGUAUGCCGUUUUAGAUUAAAAUAGCUAAUAUUGUUCUGAAGUUUUACUGAGUAUAGACAUCACAAGGAUUUUCUUUCAACAGGCAGUUACCGUACAUUGUUCUUCCAGGUCCUGUCGUGUUUCUACAUGCCGCUGUCAGCAUGGCACCGAAAGCAGAAGAACUUAAGGCGGCAAUAGCCAAAACAAAUUAUGUUAAUGUGAAGAACGAGUUUCAAAAUGACAACGAUGAAGGAGAGGAUGACGAAAAAGAAAACAUGUAUGGUGAUAGUCCUCAACCGGACGACGAAUUUAAUUUGGACGAGGUUUUGCGUUUGGGUGGAACCCGAGAACACAUCGACAACAGCCACCCUCGAAGCAGCGUUACCAUGCAGAGCAAGGGGACCAACUACUCCAAGUCUCAGAACCUGGAUGACGACUUGGCUGGUGAUCUGGAUGAGGAGGUGUCCCUAGGCAGUUUGGAUGAGGACUUUGGAGAUGAACUUGGGGAGGAGCCUUCAUGGACAGCAUUGGAGAGGAUAAUGAGGAAGGUUCACACUUGACUCUAAUUUGUCUUUCAGUUCCAGAACUUGAUGAUGAUAACUGAUUCAGAUGAGAUGGAGGUUCCACACACAAGGCCAGGUUCUAAAAAGAGGAAUGCAUCAGAGGAUCUUGACUUCAGUGAUUCUUUAGGUUCCAAACCAGGGAAGGAAAGGAGGAAACAGCCAUGUUGGCAUCUGCUGAAGAGUUUGUGUAUAUGUUGGAUGAAAAUGCUGGUUCUAAGUUUGACAACAUUGGCAUGAAUGCUAUGGCCAACAAAGACAACGCAGGUGUCAGGCAGCUCAAGUGGGAAGCCCAGAAAGACGACUGGGUCCGUGGCAGAGACAUCAAGACCCUAAUGAAGAAGAAGGCCAUGUUUAACAAGAAGAAACAGUUUGGCAAAAAGACUUUCAAGAAGAAGUAAUACUUUCUGGACCUAAGAUUACUUAUGUUUGUUCACACACCUCUAUUCCUUCUUGGACCAAUCUUCAAGGUCUUUCUCUCGAAUCCCAUAAACCCCAGCAUAUUCGUUGGACUUGUAAUAAACUGGAAAGAGAGUGAUAGUCUCUCAGCAUUCAACACAUUUAAUCACAUGAUGGUUCAGUGGGCAGCAUGUCCAAUAACUCUGUAUUGUAUUUUGUAUAGGUUUAUACAAAAUGAAAACAGUAUACUAGGAGAUGUCUGGUUUGCAGUGAUUGUAACUGGGGGGGAAAGUGUAAUAAUAUCGGCUGAUUUCAUUGCUGUGCAGCUUGGAAUUGAGGACCAAUUCCUCCAGUUUGUGUGUGUGUUGAACUGUCUACAUCCCUUACCUUCCAGGACAGAGGGAAGCAUGUUGUUCAUUCUGUUCCUGAAAUCUAAAAACAGAAAAUGUUGUUACAAAGGUGUACAUAGCCCAAGGUAGAGUCCAUGACGUCCUUUCUUAUAAAAUGUAAAUAAUA